AUACGUAGGUGACAAGCGUUAUCCGGAUUUACUGGGCGUAAAGGGCGUGUAGGCGGUCUUGCAAGUCAGAAGUGAAAUUCCUGAGCUCAACUCGGGCGCUGCUUCCGAAACUGCAGGACUUGAGUGCUGGAGGGGAUAGCGGAAUUCCUAGUGGCGCGGUAAAAUGCGCAGAUAUUAGGAAGAAUACCAGUGGCGAAGGCGGUUUGCUGGCUGCAUACUGACGCUGAAGCGCGAAAGCCAGGGGAGCGAACGGGAUUAGAUACCCCGGUAGUCCUGGCAGUAAACGAUGUAUGCUGGGUGUGAGACUAGCGAUAGUUUCGUGCCGAAGUUAACGCGAUAAGCAUACCGCCUGGGGAGUACGGUCGCAAGAUUGAAACUAAAAGGAAUUGACGGGG
rnacentral:rRNA from 1 species